AAAAUAAAAUUAAUAUUAAAAUUCAGCUAAAAGGAACUGCUCCAAAUUGAUCUACAGUUGUCAUUGUCGUCGUAAUCUUUGAACUCUCUCUAAGGGGGGGGUGCUCCAAACAAAUCUCGUCUUGCAUUGUCAGCAGUAUUAUGAGUGGGCGGGGUAGAGGAACGUCCGUCAAAUGAAGUGCUACCAAAGUCAUCCGUAGGAAAUGGACUGCCAGUCUGUGAGGUGUGUGUGUGUGGGUGUGUGUGGUGUGUGGGGGGGGCAGGUGCGUGUGGUGUAUGGGGGGAUGAGUGUGAGGGAUGGGAGGUUGAAUAAGCAGUAUACAGUCUGUCUAUUGUGGUCACCCUCUACAAUACAGCCAGGUUUAAUAAGGGACCCAGAGUCAGCCUCUGCUCAGCCUAGGGUCACCAUAAUAAACAUUCUGUACAUAAGGCAAGUACCGUAUUACUAGAAUAAUAUUAUUUUGCUGGUGAAAAACCUUUGCAAAUGAGCAGAACAUUUGACCUUCUGCGAUCUAACUAUUGCAUUGUGUAUUUACUAGUAAUAAUUGGAUUUUAUUUGUUGCAAAUUGAUCAACCCUCGCAAGAUUCGCAAAUGCUUGAUGCUCGCAAAACAUUCUAGUAAUUAUUAUGGCAGCUAGUAAAAAGUCUAUUAAGCAAAACACUACCCUCACACAACACACACACUCACCACGGUGGUCAGGUUGGUCUCUGAUCCUACUCUUUGUGGAGUGAAAUGACCAAAAGCAUCCAGUCCACUGUCUACGCUCUUAAGGAAUCCUGCAUUCUGAUUGGACGGCUUCAGGUUCGAUACUCGUUGUGGUCGUGGCGACUUAGACCUGUUACCUCUUCCGCGAGGUCGAUCUCGAGAUGAAAUGGUUGUCGUGGUAACCGAUGUGGCAAUAGCCCUCAUAGCGUUGAUGGGGGUGAUAGUCACGGAGGGUUUUGAUUGGUUUGUUGGUUUCUUAGCAACAGGACGAGUUUUUUUCGGAGAAGGGAGGGGAUUGGGUGGACCAGGGGAACGCUGUGUGUAUAAUUAUAUAUGGUGAAAUAAAUAAACACUCAAGGUCACCAAUGUAUAAUCGAUAAGCACCCUCUAUAAUACAGCCAGGUUAAUGGGUCCCAAAGUCUCCAUAGCAUGUGUUUAGACCUGUGUUAGCAGACAACCCUCUAUAAUACAGCCAGGUUAAUGGGCUUGUGUUUGGGCCUGUGUUAGCAGUUUUAUAAUACAGCCACUGUUGGUCUACCCACCACUAAGGUACUCACACAGACAUUAGUGACAUGUUUGGUGGUUCCUGUGAUCCUGGACACCACCUCACACACUUGCCAGAUACUGGUACGCAGCUCAGGGUCAGAGGUCAACAGGUAGGCUACAAGGAGGGGGAGAAUACACGUAUACCAUUAGAGCAAUACACAUAAGACUUAAGGCUGGUGGUGUGUGUGUGUGUGGAUGUGGGUGUGGUCUCACCUCUCAAGUUGUGCAGGGAGAGUCUUCAGGAAUGCUGUACUGAGCACUGACUAUGGCUAGAGGGUUGUCACCAAAUGGAGUAUCCAUGAAGCACAGCUUGAACAGUAGUACGCCCAGUGCCUGUGUGUGGGCGGGUGUGUGUUGUGUGAGGGUGUGAUGAUAUGGGUAUUAUUAGAUUCGUCUCAUUGAGAGCUUUCAAAUGAGUAUCACUAGUAAACGUGCUUAUACACAGAGAAAAGAGGUUUUAGACCCUGAGCGUGUGCUAUAUUAGCACCGUGGUGUGCUAAACAGUGAUUCAGCACACUACAUGUGCUGUUUUGUAGGCAUAUAGCACAGCCUAUGUGUUGUAUCAAGAGCCCAUAAAGAAAAGGAGCGGCUAACUUCAACGUACACUCGGGGAUCACAUCUCGUAAUUACCGGUGAAACCGCACUUCCUUGUAUGGAAGCGACUAAGUGCUUGCAAACCGCAUCCCUGCAUUGCUUAUAACACGUGUAGGGAUUCAACCAAUUAAGUGACUCUGCAUAAUUUAUAUGGAAAUGCGGUCAUAACCAAUUACGAGAUGUGAUCCCCGUAGUUAGCCGCUCCUUCUCUUUAUGGGCUCCUGGUUGUAUUGGUGUGCUUUUUCAUGGCUUGUAAUUUUGAUGUUCGAUUAAUGUGCUAAAUGGACUGUGCUAAAUGUAAUGGGUGUGCUGAAACAGGUAAACAUGCUAAUUCAGCACAGUGUGCUGUUUUCAGUACCAAAUAAGGGCAUGCAGUACAACAGAUGUGCAGCUGCAGCUGCAUAGCAACAAAUACUUUUUUUUUUAUUUGCUGUUCUUGCAAAGAAGAAAAGAAGUCGAGUUUAGACAUGGUUUGAGAGCUGUUUGACAAAACUGUGGAACUAGGAAGGACAAGCAAGUAAAAGGGCUCAACAAAAUGGAGACCAAUUGAAGCCUAUAAUUAUUGCCCAAGUUUCAUAGCACAAUAAGCACAACAGAAGGUGAUCUUUAUUUCAUCACAAACAAGAGAUGGGAAUGGAAGUCAGUGACACGGUCUUCAUCCGUGGGAAACUUGUGUUCCCUUGUGAAGACAUUAUUCUGACACAGCUCCUCUACACGUGUGUGUUGAAACUGUGUGUGGGGGAGCAUGUUUAUAAGAUGCUCAACAAUGGGAGAUAUUAAUAUUGAGUUGAAUCAAAGCUUGUAAUAAGUGAAUAGUGCAUUCUGUAGCUAUUGGAGAGGACUAUAUCACACGCCUGACAACCACACCAUCACUAUAUUAUUAUAGCAUCAUACUGUAAAGCAAUCCCUAAUUUGAUAGGCUUUCAAGGAGCUACAAAAUGGACAAUCUCUACUGUGAUUAUUAUUUAUAAUGCACCUAUCAAUGUGAUGCCCCCCAGGAGGGGUCGGGCUAACAUGAGGGAGUUGACCAUACCCCAGGUCAAGCUUCCCCAUGGUGGGGGAGGAUUCUGUCUUCAAAUCCCCCAUUCCCCCAGUCAACACUGGCCAGGGUUUGAGCCUCAAGCAGUUGCAUACACAAUCUCCUAUACAGUUCUACUGAAAAUUAAUAAGUCAUCAAUUAUUAUUGUCCAGUAAUAAGGUAGCACUCACCUUUCCCCUGAGUCAGAGUGUUGGUCCAUUGUGUCCAGUGCACCAUGCUAGCUAGUAGGACCACUCCAAUGAAUGUGCUCUCAGAGUCGAGUAUUAGAACUGAUGAAUGAAGCACAUGGACAGUGGAUGGAGAGGAAAAGCGUUCACUUGUCCUUCCCUCUAGGAGCUUCCACAAGGCUGGAUAUCGGGUGAAUACUUCUCCAAAAGACCAGCAGCAAUGGAUCACAAGGCAAAGAGCAGUGAGUACAAAUUCGUGAGGGUCAGUUGUUCACUCUGUUGGAUGCUGAUGAUGAUCCAGCCAUUGGACGUCAGAUAAAAAUACAGUCGACCUAAGGAACAGUUUAAUCACUGCCUCAUGAAUGGAUGUGUCAAGCACACACAGGUGCGUGUGUACACAUGUCUCACUAUGGUGACUAGUGUAAUGAUGCUCAUCAAUACAUCUCCCUCCUCCCACAGUGCUCCAACAUCUCUGUGUGUGCUAUUGUAUCCUUCACCCUGCCUGCAUGGUGUCUACUCCUAGACUGAGGGAAUGGAGGUGUCAAGCACACACAGUGCUCCAACAUCUCUGUGUGUGCUAUUGUAUCCUUCACCCUGCCUGUAUGGUGUCUACUCCUAGACUGAGGGAAUGGAGGUGUAAGCACACACAGGAGUAUUGACCUGACUCCCUCCAGGCCUGGUGAAAUGAACCAAUCGUCUCUCUAUUAUAUAUAGCACAUACAGCAGCAAAGUACAACACAUCAGUCAGCAAGAAACCACCUCACCCCAGCAAGAUGCUCAUGCUGUGUCAGACCCACAAUGAAUGGAGCCUCCAUCACAACACCAGCGAUAUCUUCCAUAGUCAUGAUGAGACACGCUGUUUCUUAUAAUCAUGGACACUGAUGGGAUAAGUUGAAGAUAAUUAUUGUCAAGAAAGUAAACACAAGCCCGGUCUGUUACCAAGGAAACAUGACAACAUUGAUCAUCAUUGAACAUUUUUAGCCUAUGCAGUCAUAAAAAUUAAUAUUGUUGUAUUUUUUAAUCUCUACUGCUAAAAAUUAAUUA